rnacentral:lncRNA from 1 species
UUUAUAUAUUUAGGUCUUUCCACUUUUCUGUGGAAAGACCUAUUGUUUUUCUUCUGAUUAUUUUUUUUUUCUUCCGCCUAAUUUUGUUCUUGCGAUAAACAUUUGUUUCGCAAUAUGUCGCUUAGAUAUUUGGUAUAUGAUAUCGAACAGUUUAUGCGCUUUUGAAAUUUACCCUGCGUAAACGAAUACUUUUCUUUGUAGGAGUUAUCUCCCCAAACACUGUUUUCCUUGUUAGCGCAUCUCCUUCGCAAC